AUACGAACCGUACAAACGUUAUUCGGAAUUAUUGGGCUUAAAGGGUGCGUAGGCGGCGCAGUCAGUGAGGUGUGAAAGCCCUCGGCUCAACCGAGGAAUUGCGCUUCAUACUGCUGUGCUCGAGGGAGACAGGGGUAAGCGGAACUGAUGGUGGAGCGGUGAAAUGCGUUGAUAUUAUCAGGAACACCAGUGGCGAAAGCGGCUUACUGGGUCUCUUCUGACGCUGAGGCACGAAAGCUAGGGUAGCGAACGGGAUUAGAAACCCCAGUAGUCC
rnacentral:rRNA from 1 species